AAGUGUUGACAAGAUGUAACAUUUAAAUGGAAACUUAAAACGCGAGGAGGAAAGACGCGCCAACUGCACCAUCGCAACUAAAAACUCAGCUGGUGGAAGGUUACUGGGUCAUUCUCUAAAAGGAACAACAACAGGUAAUGGAGAUGUUACAAGACAAACUCUCAAUAAUAAGGUUUUCAUGCGCAGGCAGCGCUUAUUCGGAGGUUGUGACAUUAUACUGGAUCAACAUGAAGGCUCGUCUUAGCAAUGUGAUGCGUAAGCUUUUUGAAAUCGCAGACAUCUGCAGUUCAGCUUUGAAGGAAUAAAUCCUCUGGAUGUUUAUUUCUAGUCUAUAAACGUUUUCACAGAGGUCCGUCAAAA